UACGAAGGGGGCGAGCGUUGUUCGGAAUCACUGGGCGUAAAGCGUGCGUAGGCUGUUCCGCAAGUUGGAAGUGAAAGCCCAGGGCUCAACCCUGGAAUUGCUUUCAAAACUGCGGAACUAGAAUUCGGGAGAGGAUAGCGGAAUUUCCAGUGUAGUAGUGAAAUACGUAGAUAUUGGAAGGAACACCAGUGGCGUAAGCGGCUAUCUGGACCGACAUUGACGCUGAGGCACGAAAGCGUGGGGAUCAAACAGG
rnacentral:rRNA from 1 species